CGGUAACAGGAAACAGCUUGCUGUUUCGCUGACGAGUGGCGGACGGGUGAGUAAUGUUGGGAAACUGCCUGAUGGAGGGGGAUAACUACUGGAAACGGUAGCUAAUACCGCAUAACGUCGCAAGACCAAAGAGGGGGACCUUCGGGCCUCUUGCCAUCGGAUGUGCCCAGAUGGGAUUAGCUAGUAGGUGGGGUAACGGCUCACCUAGGCGACGAUCCCUAGCUGGUCUGAGAGGAUGACCAGCCACACUGGAACUGAGACACGGUCCAGACUCCUACGGGAGGCAGCAGUGGGGAAUAUUGCACAAUGGGCGCAAGCCUGAUGCAGCCAUGCCGCGUGUAUGAAGAAGGCCUUCGGGUUGUAAAGUACUUUCAGCGGGGAGGAAGGGAGUAAAGUUAAUACCUUUGCUCAUUGACGUUACCCGCAGAAGAAGCACCGGCUAACUCCGUGCCAGCAGCCGCGGUAAUACGGAGGGUGCAAGCGUUAAUCGGAAUUACUGGCGUAAAGCGAACGCAGGCGGUUUGUUAAGUCAGAUGUGAAAUCCCCGGGCUCAAACCUGGGAACUGCAUCUGAUACUGGCAAGCUUGAGUCUCGUAGAGGGGGGUAGAAUUCCAGGUGUAGCGGUGAAAUGCGUAGAGAUCUGGAGGAAUACCGGUGGCGAAGGCGGCCCCCUGGACGAAGACUGACGCUCAGGUGCGAAAGCGUGGGGGAGCAAACAGGAUUAGAUACCCCUGGUACGUCCACGCCCGUAAACGAUGUCGACUUGGAGGUUGUGCCCUUGAGGCGUGGCUUCCGGAGCUAACGCGUUAAAGUCGACCGCCUGGGGAGUACGGCCGCAAGGUUAAAAACUCAAAUGAAUUGACGGGGGCCCGCACAAGCGGUGGAGCAUGUGGUUUAAUUCGAUGCAACGCGAAGAACCUUACCUGGUCUUGACAUCCACAGAACUUUCCAGAGAUGGAUUGGUGCCUUCGGGAACUGUGAGACAGGUGCUGCAUGGCUGUCGUCAGCUCGUUGUGAAAUGUUGGGUUAAGCCCGCAAC
rnacentral:rRNA from 1 species